CAGGAGCCUUCAGCUGACGGGCGGCUUCUGGUUUCUCUCCUUACAGCCGGGCUCUGCGGAUGCUGAGGCUGCUCUGGGCUCUGCCAGGGCUCUGCUGGGCUCAGCCCUGGGCACGGCUGGGCCCGCUCUGCCCUCACAUUGCUCUGACAGCUUUGCAUCAGACGAGCCUGUUCCGAGCACACCGCCUGAGCUUUCUGCUUUGCAGAAGUGCCACGAGUGGGCAGAACCUGGCGAGCGGGCCGUGUUCCUUAGGCAGUGCAGUCUGGAGCUGAUGGAUGGAGAAUUGCCCUUCUGCACUCCCAAACCAAGUAAAAGCUAAAACAUGCCAUAAAAUAGGAGUGUCCUCUGUUCCUGGUUCCCGUGUGGAGCAGCUCCUUCCCGCUGGCUGAGCUGUUCAGGCAGAGCAGUCUCUGGAAGAGACUUACAGGCUCCCUGUUUGCUGUGCUGCCCCACUUGUGCCCGGCCCAGCUCUGUGUGGGGCAGAGGGAGAACAAGGGGCAGCUCCCUCCCAGCCCCCAGCCCAGGGACCCCUCUGGCCCCGGGGCUUGGGGCACUGUCAGCACCCACUGCUCCAGCCACCGCUUCUGCUGGCACUGACAGCAACGCCCAAACUGUGGCUGAUCCCGAGGGAGCAGCAGCAGUGCCUGAAUCUGAUCCCUGACUCUGGGCAGGGCUGGACAAAUGACCCC